rnacentral:rRNA from 1 species
UGCCAGCCGCCGCGGUAAUACGGAGGGUGCGAGCGUUAAUCGGAAUUACUGGGCGUAAAGCGCAUGCAGGUGGUUCAUUAAGUCAGAUGUGAAAGCCCGGGGCUCAACCUCGGAACUGCAUUUGAAACUGGUGAACUAGAGUGCUGUAGAGGGGGGUAGAAUUUCAGGUGUAGCGGUGGAAUGCGUAGAUAUUAUGAAGAAUACCAGUGGCGAAGGCGGCCUCCUGGAUCUGUACUGACACUGAGGUGCGAAAGCGUGGGUAGCGAACAGGAUUAGAUA